GUGUGGCUUCCGGAACCGAAACUUCGGUCGGUAUUACUUCAGGAUUCGGUGCCAGCAAAUCAAGCACCAGAACCGUGGAACCGGAUACUUUGGAACCGAUACCGCCCAUCACUAAUUAACACACCUGAAGACUGAAGGCUGAACUGUAAAGUGACUGGAAUUACUCAUGGUAAACAAUGGAACUGGAGACUAGUUCCCUUAGGAACUUAGAACCUACUCAGUCCAGCCAAAAAUGUUGAUAUGAUACUUUUUUAAAAUAAGGUGUGAUUGAUUAGGACCUUUUAUUCACUACUUCUGGAGUUUCAGUUUAUUGAUAAAAAUUACAAUAAAGUAAUCACAUAUGUAAUCAAUACUACCGAUACUAAGAUGAAUAAUAAUCAGUAUUGUAUCGAUAAAGAAAAAACUAGUAUCGCCCAUCACUAGUCAGCAGUAACUCGGACCACUCCCGCCUCGGAAGGCGGAGCCAUCCCGUGGUCAUUGCCAGCAUAGAUACUACAUACACACAUGGAUAUGAAACAGGAAGUCGGUAUCCAAUUAACUCUUUGAAGUUCACCUGUAAACGUCAUAACCAGCAUAGCUCUAUCCUUGGCGCUUUUCUCUCUGUCUAUGUUUUCAAGAAUUUUCUUGACUCACUUAUUUUUGUGAAAGAAGGCCUCAUGUUUACAUGACAAAAUUAGAAGACCUCCAUUUUUAUUUGUAACCACCUUUUCUAGACUCUCGAACGGAGUUAGCUAGUAAGUCUUGGAAUCAUAAUAGUGUAUUGUUUGUUACAUGGACUGAAACUAUUCUCGUGUCAAUGUAAUGAGAAAUGACUGAGAUAAUAGCCAAAAACUAGUUUUUUAAAUAUUAAUUUUGUAACCACCUUUUUGAGACUUCUGCACCAGGUAUGAACAAGUUACUACUUUGAGUGUAUUCAUUAAGGCCUCUUAUAUAGACUGUUUAUGGUUUCAUUUUUCUAGAUGCUAUGUUUCAAAAUGAGAACUGAGUAGUGGAAGAAUAGGUUAUUUACCAAGAAACACAAGCAGGAUUUCAGUGGCAUUGAUGAGACAUUGUUACAUGAUUGUAAAGCUUUAUAUUUAUGCUACCACAGAGAACUAUCAAGAUAGAGAUGAUGUACAUUACAGUAUGUACUGUAUGGUGAUACAUUAAAAUUUGUUGAAGGACUCAUAAUAAUAAUCAAUCUAUUGG